UGGGGAAUAUUGCGCAAUGGGCGAAAGCCUGACGCAGCCACGCCGCGUGAGUGAUGAAGGCCUUCGGGUUGUAAAGCUCUGUCGGGAGGGACGAAAGGAGCAAUCCUUGACGGUACCUCGCAAGAAAGCACCGGCUAACUCUGUGCCAGCAGCCGCGGUAAUACAGAGGGUGCAAGCGUUGCUCGGAUUUACUGGGCGUAAAGCGUACGCAGACGGUGAGAAAGGUCGGAUGUGAAAGCCCCGGGCUCAACCCGGGAACUGCAUCCGAAACCAUCUCGCUAGAGUAUGGGAGAGGGAAGCAGAAUUCCUGGUGUAGAGGUGAAAUUCGUAGAUAUCAGGAGGAAUACCUGCGGCGAAGGCGGCUUCCUGGCCCAUUACUGACGUUCAGGUACGAAAGCGUGGGUAGCAAACAGG
rnacentral:rRNA from 1 species